UUGGUGACCAGCGGAGGGAUCAUUACCGAGUUUACAACUCCCAAACCCAAUGUGAACGUUACCAAACUGUUGCCUCGGCGGGGUCACGCCCCGGGUGCGUCGCAGCCCCGGAACCAGGCGCCCGCCGGAGGAACCAACCAAACUCUUUCUGUAGUCCCCUCGCGGACGUAUUUCUUUACAGCUCUGAGCAAAAAUUCAAAAUGAAUCAAAACUUUCAACAACGGAUCUCUUGGUUCUGGCAUCGAUGAAGAACGCAGCGAAAUGCGAUAAGUAAUGUGAAUUGCAGAAUUCAGUGAAUCAUCGAAUCUUUGAACGCACAUUGCGCCCGCCAGUAUUCUGGCGGGCAUGCCUGUCCGAGCGUCAUUUCAACCCUCGAACCCCUCCGGGGGAUCGGCGUUGGGGAUCGGGACCCCUCACACGGGUGCCGGCCCCUAAAUACAGUGGCGGUCUCGCCGCAGCCUCUCCUGCGCAGUAGUUUGCACAACUCGCACCGGGAGCGCGGCGCGUCCACGUCCGUAAAACACCCAACUUUCUGAAAUGUUGACCUCGGAUCAGGUAGGAAUACCCGCUGAACUUAAGCAUAUCAA
rnacentral:rRNA from 2 species